GACAGAGGGUGCGAACGUUGCUCGGAAUUACUGGGCGUAAAGCGUGUGUAGGCGGCCACGCAAGUCGGAUGUGAAAGCCCUGGGCUCAACCCAGGAAGUGCACCCGAUACUGCGACGGCUUGAGUACGGAAGAGGCGAGUGGAAUUCCUGGUGUAGCGGUGAAAUGCGCAGAUAUCAGGAAGAACACCCGUGGCGAAGGCGGCUUCCUGGACCAGCACCGACGUUCAGGCACGAAAGCGUGGGGAGCAAACAGG
rnacentral:rRNA from 1 species